UGGGGAAUAUUGGACAAUGGGCGCAAGCCUGAUCCAGCCAUGCCGCGUGUGUGAAGAAGGCCUUAGGGUUGUAAAGCACUUUCAGUGGGGAGGAAGGGUGUUGUGUUAAUAGCACAGCAUUUUGACGUUACCCACAGAAGAAGCACCGGCUAACUCCGUGCCAGCAGCCGCGGUAAUACGGAGGGUGCAAGCGUUAAUCGGAAUUACUGGGCGUAAAGCGCACGCAGGCGGCUUUUUAAGUCGGAUGUGAAAGCCCCGGGCUCAACCUGGGAAUUGCAUCUGAUACUGGGAAGCUAGAGUAUGUGAGAGGGGGGUAGAAUUCCAAGUGUAGCGGUGAAAUGCGUAGAGAUUUGGAGGAAUACCAGUGGCGAAGGCGGCCCCCCUGGCACAAUACUGACGCUCAGGUGCGAAAGCGUGGGGAGCAAACAGGAUUAGAUAGCCUGGUAGUCCACGCCGUAAACGAUGUCUACUAGAUGUUCGUGGUCUUGUACCGUGAGUAUCGCAGCUAACGCAUUAAGUAGACCGCCUGGGGAGUACGGUCGCAAG
rnacentral:rRNA from 1 species